ACUCCAUGAUGCUGACAUCUUCUCACAAUAUCCUUAAAUCUUUCUCAUGCUUCAAACACCGUUUCUAUAUCUUUCUGCUCGAAGUUGUGGAUCUCUCUUAGAAU
rnacentral:snoRNA from 1 species